UGGGGAAUCUUGGACAAUGGGGGCAACCCUGAUCCAGCCAUGCCGCGUGAGUGAUGAAGGCCUUAGGGUCGUAAAGCUCUUUCGCCUGUGAAGAUAAUGACGGUAGCAGGUAAAGAAACCCCGGCUAACUCCGUGCCAGCAGCCGCGGUAAUACGGAGGGGGUUAGCGUUGUUCGGAAUUACUGGGCGUAAAGCGCACGUAGGCGGAUUGGAAAGUUAGAGGUGAAAUCCCAGGGCUCAACCCUGGAACUGCCUUUAAAACUAUCAGUCUAGAGUUCGAGAGAGGUGAGUGGAAUUCCGAGUGUAGAGGUGAAAUUCGUAGAUAUUCGGAGGAACACCAGUGGCGAAGGCGGCUCACUGGCUCGAUACUGACGCUGAGGUGCGAAAGCGUGGGGAGCAAACAGGAUUAGAUACCCCCGUAGUCC
rnacentral:rRNA from 1 species